AUGAUGCGCGUGCUCUGCCUAAUGAGGAACGUCUGGAAUGAGUCCAAGGAUGAAGGCCUGAGAAGAAGGAGAAGAUGGACAUCCCAGCUCAAGAAGAGACAGAAGAAAUUCACUCUUCUUCUGCCUUUCUGUUGUAUUUGGGCCCUCAAUGGAUUGCAUGAUGUCCACCCACAUUGGUGAGGGUGGAUCUUCUUUCCUUGGUUUACUAAGUAACGCUAAUUUCUUUCAGAAACAUGCUCCAACGUAUCCAGAAAUAAUGUUUUACUAGCUCUCUUGGCAUUUCUUAGUCCAGUCAAGUUGACACAUAAAAUAAACCAUCACAACAUUGUAUUCUAACUCUAGCC
rnacentral:lncRNA from 12 species